AAUCAGGUAUACACAUUUGCGGGCAAUCGUUUGACUACCAACAUAGCACUGGCAGUUACAAGAACAGGAACAGGAUAAUGUGAAAAAUUAUUGAUUUUGAGCUCAUAUUGAUUUUAUAUUUAUUUUUCUUUUUAUUGGUUUUUAUAUUUAUUUUUCGUUUUAUUGAUUUGCUACAAUUGUUGAGGACGUAUUCAUAUAACAGUACAUUGUACAUGCAUUUUAGUAUUUUAGGGAAUUUGGUCGUUGUACUAGUGUCACCAAAGAUAUUUAAAGUUCAAACGUUUCUGCAACAUACAUUGUUUAAAUAUUUGGCAAUAUAUGAACAAUGUAUAGAUAUAUGCAAAGUUGAUUGUUUUCCUUAACAGGGAACUUCUUGUUACUGUACUGCUAAACCACGCAUAUCACAACUGAAUACUUUCUGUAAGAGCAAUCAUAAAGAAAGUUUAAAAAUCUACAAACAUUUCUUUGUACACAGCCAGUUUCAAUAAUGGGGCGCUGUUUCAGUAAACAAGACAUCGAAACAUAUACUGCCACUGGAGGAAUAUCUAAAAAUAUUGUCGACCUUCAAAACGUUGUUAAAGAGUCGGCUUGGAAAUGGUACAGCGAUCGUAGACAAAAGGAUUUUCCAACGGCAGUAAAAAAGGUUCGGUUAGAUUUUGAUUGGACAGGUGUAAAGUUCAUUCCAACGAAUCUAAAAUAUUCAGAUCCAAGAACAGUUCAAUAUGAAUCAAAUAUUUUAUUUGAAUCAGUAUUCAAAAAUAAUAGCAACAAAGAGCAACACCAUUCCUUGAAAACUGAACAACAGACUACAGGAACUUGCACGAGCUCAAUAACAAAAGGUUAUACGACUGGCUUCAAUGUUGGCCUGACACUAUCUGCUCCUGCCGAUAUAGCAGAGACGACAUGUGGGUUUUCUAAAGGUUUCUCAGUUGAAAAUACGUUGGUUAAUGAAGAUCAAAGAACAAUGACUUGGUCAGCAGAAGGUAUGUUGUUAGUUGAAAAGCAAUCUAUGCUUACUGCAAAACUUCAAAUAACAUAAAAGCAAAGUUCGUAUACUUUUACUACUAAGGUUGCAGUAAAAGGAGAAGUUAUAGUUAAGUUCUACGAAAGAAAAAACAACAGAUAUCUGAUGGAAUACAGAGCACCAAUAAGAACAAUAUUAGUUCAAAAGAAAGAUAAGUUUACAGAUGCAAAAGGUGAAAUAUUUGUAGAAGACAUCGAUGGAACAGCUUAUGUGAAAGUUGAAGGGAAAUGCAUUUUCAAAUAUGGUAUCAAACAAGAAAUUAUUAUAAACCAGAACAGUAAUGAAGAACAAAUUGCUUUGUCCUGAAAUUUGAACUAACAAUGCAGAUGCUAAUUCCUACAUUCUACUGACGUAAUGCAUGUCUUAAUCCGAAUAUGUCGUUUUUAAAGUGGUGGAGGUUUUCAUGUUAUACUUUCUUUGUUGGUUCUAAAGUUUUAAAUACAUUUACAACACAUCUCGCAAAAGCAAUACACUAAAUUACUGACACUAUACACAAGUAAAAUACAAGUUGAUGACAUAUUGGCAUAAAGUUUAUGCACAACAUACAUGUACACUUUAGGAAUCCAGAAAUGCAAGGUUACAUAUAUUGCUAAGACGGCAGUCUAUAUAAUAUCAUUUAUCGAGUAUGAUAAACUAUGACUUUUUUUAAUUAUAUCAAUCAUUGUCUGCCAAUUAACCUAGUGUACAUGUUCCUUUAAUUCUUCAGCUUUCACACUGUUAAUUAUAAGCCUUUCAGUCUAAAUCAGAAAAGCGCUUCGAACGCAUCAAUUGUAUUUUUUUAAUAUAUGCUCGAAAUUAGUUAGCUGUUCUAUCUCGAUUAUCCCCUUGGUAAUUCCACUCUCGUAUUUCACUAUUUUUAAAAUACAUCAAACGGCUUUGAUAGUUUAAUAAGGAAAAACUCUCAUCGGAAAGACUGAUUCAGAUAUUGAAACCGAAUCUCGAAUUUUGAACUCAUAUACUAAAGUUUAAAUAAUUUUUCCAGGACGUAGAAUUUCAAGUUGACCAAUAUGGCCGUAACAUGGUUAAUAUGUAUAUAAACACCUAUACUCUAAAUACAAUGAAAUGACAUGACUGUGAUGUUUCACCUGUUCAGUAGUCAGCAUAUUUGUGUUGACAUUAAGAACUAUUGAUAUGUUAUGUUUUACAAAUUUAUUGUUUAUUAAAAGUUGAAUAAUUAUAAUCACUUACAAUUUUUAUCGUCACACAAGAUUGCAUUUGGCAAGCAUUCAGCUUAAGUGCUCGUAAAAAUCGAGUAUGAAAUGGCAUUACAUGGUUUGGUUUGAACGCCACUAAUGAGUUUUAUAUAUGUAAAACGUGUAUCAACAACACAAAUUAUAAACCGGGUUGCUUUGAUGAGCUUUUUAUAUACGAGAUGGAGAAAGGAAAUUGAUAAUUAAUAUAUUAUUUCUCCCUUUAAUUCUAAAUUUAAUUAAAACAUAUAUGUCAUAAA